rnacentral:rRNA from 1 species
CAGUCGCCACGGGAAUACAGAGGGUGCGAGCGUUAAUCGGAUUUACUGGGCGUAAAGCGUGCGUAGGCGGCUUUUUAAGUCGGAUGUGAAAUCCCUGAGCUUAACUUAGGAAUUGCAUUCGAUACUGGGAAGCUAGAGUAUGGGAGAGGAUGGUAGAAUUCCAGGUGUAGCGGUGAAAUGCGUAGAGAUCUGGAGGAAUACGGAUGGCGAAGGCAGCCAUCUGGCCUAAUACUGACGCUGAGGUACGAAAGCAUGGGGAGCAAACAGGAUUAGAUACCCGUGUAGUCCCUGUCUCUUAUAC